GUAGCUCAAGAAUCUAAUCUUCGAGUAAUGCGAUCGAAAUCCAUUCCUUCACGGUUAGAUUCUGCUCACUUCUUCCCUUAAGCUUCCUUUCUUUUCUUCGAUCCUACAAAACAUCAAUUGUAAUCUUAUCACAUUAUGUAUUAAGAAUCUAGAAUAGAAGCUUAAAAGAGUUAGUCAAUGGAUUUUACCUAAAGCAGAGCCAUACAUUUUGACUCUCCCAUCUCUUAGAUCUCUUAGGUAAAUAGGGCAGCUUCGUCUCCAAUGCCCCUUCUCUUGGCAAUAAAAGCAAAUUGACUCUUUUGGAAUAGGACAUGGAACUACUUCAGACAUUGCCUUUCUCUUAUGAUCAAACUCUGUCUUUCAUUGCCAUUGCCUAUAUUCAUUGUCUAUAUCCAUAGAGGUCUUGAAGGCAGAUUCACCAAUCAACUUUGCUUUUCUAUUGCGCCAAACCAUUGCUGAUUCAGCAGCAAUAAGCAUAUAGGUGAGAUCUAUAAGGGUCACGUCGCAGUUCAUCAUAUAGUACUCUCUUACGAACUCACUAUAUGAGUUAGGAAGUGACUGAAGAACCCAAUCAACAGCCAUCUCCUCACAGACAACGGAUCCCAACAUUCUAAACCUAUCAAUGUGUGACUUCAUCCCUAGGACGUGUGCACACACCGACUUUCGUUCUUUAUGUUUACUUUCCAAAAGGGCUUGAGUGAGCUUGAACGUUUCAACCCUUUGCACUUGUGGGUUAGGGAGAAUAAUUGGAGGAUGAGGAGGAAGUGAUGUAUGAUUUCUUGUUCCUCGAUCGAAUCGUGGAAUAUCAUCUUCAUGUGGAAUGCUUGUUCCACGGGAUUUGGGAAGACCAUAGUUGUCGAACUUUGACAUCUACAAAACGGGAGAAAACGAAUUCAAGUUAGUUGAUUGAUUGAGUCCUUAGUAAAUCACCCAAAUGAGAUACUAAGGCUAGGACCCAACACAAUACGCUACAACCUAGAAAAGGGAUGCCGUAAUCUAGUUGCAGAAUAUUUGAAGGUAAGUGAAUGACGAUUCACUAAUUUCCACCAUUAAAAAAUGAAAAAGAAAUUUAAGUUUUAAAUCUAUGAAAACUCCUAGAUCCUUUGAGAUUCAUUGAACAUUUCAAUGGCAUGUUUAAAUCUCGAUAUGCCCCUCUAGUUUGUGACUGGGAUGCCGAGGAUCACAAAGCGGGUGUGAAUAACCAUGCAAACUUACAUGGUGCCCUCACAUGUUACAGUCACCUAUUCGGUGUGCCGGUAAACCACACACGCUCCACUAACGUCUUCGCAAGGGCACAAAGUGUAAUUUCAUGGAAUUGCAUCAAUUCACUUUUCCUAAGUAACUAAGAUUGGGAAUUUGUAAAACAUUUAGUUACUUUUGUANNNNNNNNNNNNNNNNNNNNNNNNNNNNNNNNNNNNNNNNNNNNNNNNNNNNNNNNNNNNNNNNNNNNNNNNNNNNNNNNNNNNNNNNNNNNNNNNNNNNNNNNNNNNNNNNNNNNNNNNNNNNNNNNNNNNNNNNNNNNNNNNNNNNNNNNNNNNNNNNNNNNNNNNNNNNNNNNNNNNNNNNNNNNNNNNNNNNNNNNNNNNNNNNNNNNNNNNNNNNNNNNNNNNNNNNNNNNNNNNNNNNNNNNNNNNNNNNNNNNNNNNNNNNNNNAUCAUAUAAGGAAGUUAUUAUCUAAUCAAUUGGUAAUUAUCUUGUGUUUUGGCAAGGAUAUUCUUUAAGAAACAAUAAAAUUCGUAUUUUAUAGGUUUAAAACGAAUAUGGUAAUUAUCCUUAAGCAAAACAGCAACAAAAUCCGAAAUUUCCUCUGUCUGACGCUCCGACUCGCCGAGUCACACUUUGGAACUCGCCGAGUAGGGCUGACUCGCCGAGUCCAAGUAGUGACUCGCCAAUUCAGGUCGAACAGUAAGCCAAAAUACGAUUUUUAGCUACAUAAUGCAUCAAUACAAUAGAAACCAAUCAAGGCUCUGAUACCACUGAUGGGUUUUGGCCAUAAGAACAUCCUAUGUGCUCAUACAAACCCUAAUGCUUGGAUCUAGGUUUCUCUAUUGUACAUGCAAUUUAUCCAAGACUAUAAACCCUAGAUCUAGCAUAUGAUAAUCAAUAUAACAUUUAAUUAGGGUUUAGAUCAUACCUUGAUUGUUAUGUAGCAAUAACAAUCGCAAAUCCUCCUUUUAUUGACUUUAGAAAGCUUAGAGUCACAAAUGUCACUCCUCUAAUGGUUCAUAAACACCAAGAGCAAGAGGAUGAAGAGGAGAAGAGAAGGAGGCUGCCCAAAACGUGUGGAAACCCUAGACAACAAGUCCACCACGUUUUUGAGCCUUAAGGGUUCUUUAUAUAGACAGACUAUUAGGGUUAUCUAACAAGGAAACCCUAAUUUGGAUGCUUAAGCCCUAAGCAACCUAUGGACUCCUUCCUUAGCAAGCCUUGGACGAUUUCUAAUGGGUUUCCCCAUAGAAUUCGUCCAACCUUAUAAUAUAAGGCAAUCCAUAGCCCAAUUGCAAUUAUCUUAUAAUUACAAUUCCAGUCCCUUAAGUUUAAUUAAUCUCUUUUAGUCACAAACUUAAUUCUUAUUAAUUCUUGACUAAUAUUAAUUAACCAAUAUGAUUUCUCCUUUAAUAUAUUAUUCUCAUAAUAUAUUAAUAAAUCAUAUUUAAUCCUUUCUCUCCAUAUUUUAUCUUAUCAAGUUGCUUUGGUGAAGGCAACCCAAAAGGACCAUGCACCAUCAGGUCAAGUACAUACCAAAAUAGUUAUGGUCUUAGACACUAAUCCGACAGUUGGGUCCCUGUCUUACCUAAAAGACUAUUUUGCCCUUAUUAAUUUAUUUUUAAAUUAAUUUUCUUAUUUAUGUAUUUAUUUUUUAUAUAUUUAUAAAGUAAUAGACCCACAUAUCUGUAUCUCCUCACCGUAAACCUGAAACCACAUUUGAGAAAUUUAAUUUGGGUCUCACUGGUCACCAUCCUAUCUCUUGUCCUCCUCAACUUCUAUUUCUUUUCCAUCUUUAGUGACAUCGACGUCUUCAUCAUUCUUCUUUUUUUGGUCCUUCAACUCUGGCGAACCAACAUCAUAACCCACUGUCUCUUCAUCUUUAGUGGGUUUACUAGGUUCCGGUGUUAAUUUGACGGACUUGAAGAACCGAAAAAGAAGGGAUGGUGAAGACGUCGAUAUCACUAAAGAUGGAAAAUAAAUAGAUGUUGAAGAGGAUGAUAUAUGUUAUGGUGAUGAGAUACAGAUAUGUAGGGUCUAUUAAUUUUUUUAAAUAUAUAAAGAAUAAAUACAUAAAUAAGAAAAUUAAUUAAAAAAAUUAAUUAGUAAGGGCACAAUAGUCUUUUUAGGUGGUAAGACAGAGACCAAACGCAUAACAAAAAUAAACAGUAAGGAUCAUCUGAGUUAAAAAAAAAAAGCAAAUUAACUAUAAAAUAAACAGUAAGGAUCAUCCGAGAAGAUACAAAUAUGUAGGUCUAUUAAUUUUUUUAAAUAUAUAAAAAAUAAAUACAUAAAUAAGAAAAUUAAUUAAAAAAUAAAUUAAUAAGGGCACAAUAGUCUUUUUAGGUAAGACAAAGACCAAACGCGCAACGAAAAUAAAUAUUAGGGACCAUCUGAAAUAAAAAAAAAAAGUUAUGGACCUAAAACACAAAUUCUUCCAAACCACAGGGAGCAUUCGUGUAAUUUACUCUUAUUUUUCGUUUUGUUCAUAUUUGGGUAACUAUAUUUUUUGUACACAUCUAGGUAACGAAUUUGUCAAAAGUGUUCACAUCUAGGAUGUAACCUGCUAGAGUAGGCCAUAAUGGUCAUAUGUGAAUACUUCCAACAAGUUUGUUACCUAAAUAUAUACAAAAAAAAGUUACCAUAUGUGAACAUACCAAAAAGGUAAUUACCUUGAUAAGUCAUUUUCUCUAUAACAAAACCAUAGGUGAAAGGGCAAAAGAGUAAACAAUCCUACUCGUCUACGGUUUUGGUGGUUAAUUUAGGUCAAUUGCUAAUUUUUGGCAAAAAAAUAGAUAAAUAAUUAGUAUUUUUUUGCUGGUUUAGUAAUUUUCUCUUUAUAUUUUCAAAUUAAAAAUAUUUAAAAGUAAAAUUAAAUAUUUUGUUAUUUUUCAAGAUCUUUCAAACUAGAAAAGAAAAAUUAGAAUCGAAGGUUUUCUUUUCAUUUCCUUUCACCUUUUUUUCAUUUUCUUCAUUUAAUGUUACUUUCAUUUCUUUUCACUUUCUUUAUUUUAAUGUUUCUUUUAUUCGUUUAGUAUUAAGGAUAUUAGAUACAAGAGAAUUGUCUUUAAAUAGUGAAAUUAUAUUAGGUUUCAUUUUGAAGCCAUUAGAUUCAAUAUUCAAUGUGAAAAGAUUAUAUUCAUUUCACUUUAUGCAAUUUAAGACUAAAAUCUAAGUUAACAUUUUGUUUUUGUUUUUCAUUUUUUUAAUAAGGUAAACAAAUAUUAAUUUUUUCUUAGUUAAAUAAAGUUAUCGUGUAUACUCACUACUAACCACUAAUAUGGUGGAUGUCACAUCAUCACCACAACCAACCACUAUUACUAUUGUGUGUAGGCAACAUGGUAUCACAUCCAAAAGUUGUCACCUCAAAUUAGGAAAGACCGGUUCAUAUCAAAUCUCGAUUUCAUACCGAUACAAUACCAAAAUAGGUACCAAACCGUACCGAAUUUAAAAAUAUGGAAGGGUACUCGAUAUUUCAAAAUCACGAAAUUUGGAAUUCGGUACCGCUGCUAAUACAGAAAACUGAUACUAUUUUGGGUACCGAUAUCGAUAAUGUUAAUUUUGUUCGGUAGUCAGAAUUGAAUUUCGAUCAAACUCGAUUUUCUGGAAAUCAAGAACGAUACCAUAUGGUACCAGUUUCGUCUUAGGCUCAUCUUUAUCUCAAAUGUCAUGUCAUAUAUGGUGUUUUAACACCAAAUGAGAAAAUGGACAACAUGUUAUAAAACCCAUUAAUUUCCAUGUUAUCAUUUCCUUUUUAUUUAUUUUUUCGAUUGAUUUAUUUAGUUUUCAAUAUUUUUUUAAUUUAUUUAUUUAUUUUUCAAUAUUUUUUCAAUUUAUUUAUUUUCUAUUUUUUCCAGUUUGUUUGUUUUUUGUUUUUUAUUUAUGUUAUAAUAUUUUUAAAAAAUUAAUAAGACAUGCUAUUUAAUGAAUCCUAAAUUAAACAUAACAUUUAGAAACUAAAAAUAACAUUACAAAAAAAAAUAACAUUGAACGUGAAAAAUACGCUAGUCCUGAUAUAAGAACAUAAAAAAACAAUACAAUAGUACUAUUCGAAAUAUUUAAUCUCAAUCUUCUCUUUCAUCAUUCGGAGCACUUACACUUCUUUUGGCGUCAUAUUUCGGUCACUAGUGCGAAGAAUCGUCAAAUCAUUUGUUAUUUGAUCUUCCUCUACUUAACGACGAAGGAAUUUCAAGUGUUGGCAUUGUACUUUGACUUAUUCUUUUAUUGAUAAAUUUUGUUGGUCGAACUUUGCUUAUAUUUCCACCAACUCUUGUGCCCUUAUUUCAACUUCAUAUGCAUGUCGUUGAGCGCAAUUCGCUUUGUCGUGUCCGACCGGUCGACGUGGGGAGGGGGAGAUCUCUUCGAUGUCGUCGAGGAUGUCAUCGGCGUCAGCAUUGAGGUUAAUGUUAGUUUCUGUGUCAGAAACGUCAAACGAACUUGAAUUGCGAUACCUCUUUGAUUGUGCCUCCGACGAUGUUGGCAUUUUAAUCCAUUUUGGAUCUUUUCUUACAGUCUAUCAUAUUUUUUCAUACUAAAAAACGUGACCCAUUUCGACAUGAUAUUGGUCCAUCGCGACUCUAAACACAUCAAAAUCAUUCACACCACUUUGCUUUUGCGAAAAAAGGUUGUUUAAAAUCCCAUUAAACUUGGUGCACCUACGACUGAUUGGAGUCCAUUGGCUAUUAAGCAUAUCAAUAUUGUGAUAUGGAGUUUUCUUCAUAAGCGUGUGAAUUUUUCCGAGCACGGCUUCCCAAAAUCAACUCUCCUUAUAUCAUUUUGUAGAUUCCAUAGUUUGUUGUGUCAUCUUGAAUGUUUAAUUUGCAAUGUCUUUACUUAAUGUGAGUUAUGAUGCGAUCUCGUACUUUUUGUUACCUUAAGUUCACAGCUUUUUUGUUGACUUGAGAUGCCUUUAUUUUAUCCCUCCGAUGCCUAUAUAUAAGGGAUAUUAGAUAGAAGUGUAAUGCCCUGUUCCUGGUACCCUUUAGAUGAGAGGCCAGAUCUACCCUUUAGAUGAGAUGAGCUAAAUAGAAAUCAAGUUUAUGGUCAUGGACUUUAGGGGACUCAGCGAGUCGUUCUUGGGACUCGGCGAGUCCGGGAUUGGUUCCCCAACCUUUUUUGUUUCUGAGGAAUCUGGUUGAGUCUAGAAGGGGGACUCAACAAAAUGGACGUGAUUAAGGACCUGGACAUCAUCGGACGCGGCGAGUGUAUAAGCAACUCAGCGAGUCCAAUGCAAUCUCGCAACCCAUGAACAAGGACUCGACGAGUUGUUCAUAUAAAUCGACGAGUCAUAGACUGGACACAUUCAUAUGAUGAAGAUGAACUCGACGAGUUCAAGGAUGAAAUCGACGAGUCCUUUGAAGAUAGUCCUGAUGUUAUGGUUUAAGGAGAACUCGUCGAGUUCUUGCUAGACUCGACGAGUAGAGUCGAUGAUGGAGUCAUUUCGAAAGGAUAGGGACUCGAUGAGUUGGUGGACCAACUUGGCGAGUCAAGUCAACUAGAGGUUGAAUUUGACCAGGACGUUGACUUUGGCUAGGGGUAAAAUGGUCAUUUUACCCUAAGAGUAGAUAUCAGUUUUUCACUAAGUGUCCUUAUGGAAUUUAUAGCCGAGGAGUCACCGGAACAGUAGGCAGGGAUUUCUCGUUCGGAUUUCAGCAGGCAGUCAGCUUUACGAGGUGAGUAUUCCUCCAGUAAGAACAGGCCUAAGGCACCAAUUCCGACCCAUCUAAGUAGUUACCGUAUGUUGGGGUUAGCCGGAUGUAGUUCAUAUGUUUCCGGACAUCGGUCUGAUGUCGGGGCAGUCCCGACAAGUAGUUACGUAUGCGUGAUGUGUUUUUGAUUCAUGCAUGUUGUAUGUUGUAAGUUAUAUGUUAUGUGUUAUGUGUACCGGGCUUCAGCCUGAUGUCGGGGAAAGCCCGAUGUAUGCUAGUUUGAAUGCUAUAUGUUAUAUGUUCCGGGCUUCGGUCCGAUGAUGGGGCAAGCCCGAUGCAGAUUAUGUGAUUAUAUUAUGUGUUUCUGAUAUAUGUUAUGUUGUGUAUGUGUCGGGGUAAGCCCAAUGUCGGGGUGAGACCGAUGCUCGAUGCAUAGGGGUGGCAAUUGAUGACACGACACGACAAAAAUACACGACACGAAACGAAAUUGAGACGAAAUUGAAAUUCGAAUUUGUGUUCGUGUCGUGUUCAUGUCAAGUGCAAAAAACACAACGUCGUGUUCGUGUUCAAAAUUUGACACGAUUUAACAUUUUUUGUCGUGUUUUUCGUGUUAUGUAUGAAUAAAUAUCAAUUAAAUACAUUAAUUGUUAUUUCAUGUUAUCUUUGUCGUGCCGUGUCAUGAUUGUCGUUUUUUAAUCGGUUCGUUUUCGUGUUAGUUAAAAAAAACCCGAGAUCGUGUUGUGACGUAUUCGUGUUACAUAAAACCUUGUCGUGUCGUGUCGUGUUAGACAAAAACACGACACGAUGGCUCGAUUUGCCACCCCUACCGAUGCGGUUAGAUGAUGGGGCGAACCCGAUGUCGGGUACGCUGAUGCGGGGAUUCGUCCUGAUGCAGUUGGGAGUAGUCCCAGAGUAUUGUUAUUGUGAUAUGUUAUUUGUAUGGUAUGUGUUAGUUUGGUGAGCUCACUAAGCUUCAUGCUUACAAUUUUAUUUUUGGCUUCAGGUACUUCCGGUAGCAAAGGGAAGAGCUCGGGACGAUAGCAUGACACAUACCAUAGUCUUCAACCUAGGAGAUUUACUCUGAUAUUUUGAUAUGAUAUUUGAUAUGAUAUUUGAUAUGUGAUAGAUAUAAUGCUUUAAAAACGAAAUUUUUGGGUUGUAUUUUUGGGAUGUUUCAAGAAGAAUGUGUAAGAGUUGAUAUGAUAGAAUAGCUCUUUUCUUGUAAUCGAAUUGUUCUGAACUUACUUGUUAAUGAAAACGCAAUCUUACUUACUUCGUGCAUUCUUGGGAAUCAUUUCAUCAUUUGAUUUUUUAAUCUAAUCGUUCCUUCAAUUGGUAUUAGAGGGGGAGAUUAUUUGAACUUCUUCAGAUAUGUUCAUCUUAUUCAUUUGUUCUUAAAGUUCAUCGUGUUCAUUGUGUUUUUCCAGAUUUGUUAAUCGAAUUUUAGAUCUGUUCCGCAUUUUGAAAAUUGUUUUGCAAAUUGAUCUCUAAUUCUUUGAUUGAGUCGUUUAAUCUACUCUUUUUCAAGUUCAUUGAUCUCAUUCACGUCAAAUUUCACUCAAAAUUUUGAAUGAUUAUUCACACUUCGUCACAUUCAAUCUUACAAGCGGUAUUAGUUCCACAACAAGAAUUCCAAUUUUUCCCCCCGGAGACUAUGAAGUUUAGGCUCUUUACAUUGAAGAUUAUGUUCUAGGGAUUGAAACUUAUAGAUCCACCAUCUGUCUAGUAAUUAAAGAUGGAACACACAAGUAUAAUUGUAACACCCGAUUCAAAGUACUUUUAAGUUUACACCCCUUUUGGGUUGAUUUUUGGCUCUUUGGUCCAAAAUAAUUUGGCAUAGAAUGUUCGGCGUUCAAACGCCAGGCGUUUUAUGAUGGACGUCAGGUGUUUACACGCAGAGGCCAAACCCUAAUUUUUAGGGUUUGCACCCUAUUUAAGCGUCCUUGUGGCGCCAAACCCUUUCUAUCAUCAGCCUACAUCUUUAGAACGACCCCUCUUGCAAACCCUAGCCACAUUGUUAAAUUUUAAAGCUUUAGUGUGUGUUUUUGUGUGCUCCAAAGGAAGAAGAAGGUGGUGGUAAAGCUUGGAAGCUUGUAGAAGCUCUAGAUCUCGGAUCAUCAUCAUCUUAGCAACCUCCAAGAGGUAUAAAGUUCUGAACUUGGUUUGUAUUUAAUUAGAUCUUAUUAACUUUUGAGUAUAUAGGUCGCCCUUCUGGACACUUUUAAGGUGUAUUGAGACAUAAAAAUAGGAUCUUGGAUCAUCAUGAUCCUUCAUGCAAGAGUUUUGGAGCCUUUUAGUUAACAUUGAGUUAGGAUCUUAGUGUUGAUAUUGUUGUAGUCGUGCAUGAGCUUAAAUUUAGCAACUUUAUGGCUUUAGACGUUCUAUAAGCUAUAGAUCUAAAGUUUGGACUUGAUAUCUUAAGCCAUUAAGUCAUUGGUUUGGAAGUUGUUGAACAUCGAGAAAAUGCCAAGCGUUUCAUGUGAAUGCUCAGCAUUCGGAUGUCAGGCGUCGAAGGGAGGAACGCCAGGCAUUCUAUGCAGAAACCCAAUCGGUCGAUUUUGGGCCUCGGGCAUUAGGGUUCAUGGGCUUAGUCUAGUUGGGCUUGUAUAAAAAGGGUGAGAUGGAAUUUUACUCUCAUCUUGAUAAGGAAUGGAUUAGACCAUGGGCUUGGGUUAAACCCUAAUCAUUGAUAGGGUUGUUUCUUUUUUUUGUUAAGCGCGAGAAGGAGUGUUUGCCACAGAUCGAGUGUUGUUUUAGUUAUUAUCAGUAAAGGUGAUUCUCCCCACUAUACUAUGGGUCGAAGGUACCAAUUUUUGGGCCAUUGGUUUAUGUUAUAUAGAAAAACCAGGGGUGGCCCUUAGCAUUUGUAUGAAAGACCCGAAUGUGGCUCCUAGAAAAUAUGCAUGCGAGACAAGGGAUUGGACCCUGUCAGAUAUGUAGAUAGUUAGAUAUCGAUUUUUACUAUUUGUCUUUGUGAUGCAUUCAUGGAAGACUAGGAGGUGGCUCUUGGCACUUGUCUGUAAGACCCAGGGUUUUGGUCCCCGUCCUGGCAAGGAAUGACCAUGAUACGACUCGUGGCAUAAUCACAAUACUAUGAUUGGCUCAUAGCAUUCUCUAUCGUAUGUAUGGUAUGGGAUUGUACUAUAAUACUUUUUUUACAUUAAUAUAUUUUUGAAUGAUUGGUAUUACUAAAUGGUAUUUUAUGGUUGAGUUAAGAACAAAAUUUUUAUUGAAAUGUUGGGUUGUUACAUGUUGGUGUCAGAGCCUUGGUUUGAGGGUUUCAGGCAUACUCUCGGGUGUGUCUGAACUCAAACUAGGGGUUUGGUAAAAUUUUUAUAAAAUAAAUGUUUUAUUAAAGGGUUUUCUAGUAAAAGAAAGGGGUGGUAUGUCUGCAAUCGGCCAAGCUCAAGUACGUGAUUCCCAGAAUACCCAUACAUGUUUAUUAUGUUAUAUGUUAUGAGAAUUGCGUGUUGGAGUAAGGCUAAGGAUCUGCUCAAGAUUUCAUGUUAGGAGAGAUGCCUUUAUAUGCCUGAUUGUUUGAGCUUUUAGAAUUGCAUGCUUGUAUGGUAUUGAGACAAUUGGGUAGAAUGACUUGAUUAUUGGCAUGCUAGUUAGAUUUUUUGUUGCCCGAAUGUUGCUUUGUGCUUUGUAGGAGUCUUAGUGAUGUGAGUUACCUAUUAUGUGAAUAUGUCAAGUCACAUGUUGCACAGGUAAAAUAUUAUCAGAAUGAUGGAUUUAACCCUAUUGCACAUAUGUCGUUUGAGUCUAACCGUUGUAGGGAUGAGUCUUUUACUCAUUAGAUUAUCUAAGCUUUGUUCCAUGUGAUUGUAUUCAUAAGUAGUUAACUGACAUUAUUGGGAAUUCUUCAGCAGCUGAUGGCAGGGUGAGGUUGGGAAUCUAGGAGAGCCUAGGAAAUGCGUUUAGUGGGUUGGUUGUGUUGUGUAGCGAGUUUUUGGGGUAUCAGUUUAAGAAGGUGAUUUAGAGGAUUCAGGAUGAUUCUUGAUGAAAGUACCGAUUGGUGUGGAAGGUAGUAUUGGGAUCGUACUAUUGAAAUGGGACUACAAGUUCAAAAGCAAGUACCGAGCCUCCCAUCGAAUCGAACAAGAAAUGUGUUAAACCUGAAAAUAGAUGGGUACCGAAGGUUCACUCUCCCAAAUCUCCUAAUGCUUUUAAAAGAAGAAGAUAACCUGUCCAAGAAUGCCUUUUCAUGGGACAGCCAAGCCAAUCCGGGUCAGAGUAAGCCAUAAGGUCAUUACCACCUAAUCGCAGUAGAAGAAUUCCUUGAUUAGGGCUAGUCUUAAGAUAAUGAAGGACGUGCAGAAGAGCAUCAAGAUGAUGUUGUUUAGGAUCAGCGUUAAACUAGCUAAGAAUGUUAUCUGAUUAAGCUAUGUUAGGUGUCGUUGCUUUUAAAUAAAGAAGUUUACCAGUCAUUCGUCGGUAUUGAUUCACAUCAACCUUUGGUUGGUUCUCAUCUUGAUCAAUUUAAGAUAUUUCUCGAUUAGAAACGAACUAGGGCGAGCUCCCAUCAUACCAUUGUCUUUUAAAACGUCAAGGGUGAAUUUUCUUUGACUAAGAACCAAACCCUUGGAAGUUUUUGUCACUUAGAUCCCAAGGAAAUACUUUAGGACUCCAAGAUCCUUGAUGUUAAACUUUUCAUGUAGGCACCUCUUUAUGUCUUGGAUCUUUUUAGCAUUUUUACCCACAAUGAUCACAUCGUCAACAUAAAUAAGAAUAGCGAUGAAAGUGCUACCGUUUUUAUGAAGAAAAAGUGAGUGAUAAGAUUUUUACUCUUUGAAACUAAGACCUACGAGAGUAGUAGUAAAUUUAUUGUACUAAUUCUUGGAGACCUGCUUGCGACCAUAAAGAGUCUUUCGUAAACGACAAACCCUCGUGUCAUUGUCUUUAGAAAAUCCUUGAGGAACUUUCAUGUAGACUUCUUCAUUCAAAAUUUCAUGUACGAAGGCAUUGUUGACAUCAAGUUGAUGUAUCGUCCAAUCCCUCUUGGUAGCAACAGCCAUUAAGGCUCGAACAAUAACAAGCUUUGCAACGGGAGCAAACGUGUUAUGAAAAUCGACUCCUUCAGUUUGUGUGAAACCUUUUGCGACAAGUUUCUCCUUGUAUCGUUCAAUAUAUCCAUUAGGCUUUUACUUUAUUUUAUAGAACCACGUGGAGUCAAUAGCAUGUUUCCCUUUGAAAGAGUCUCCAAUGUCCACGUCUCAUUUCGUUAUAGAGCUUGGAUCUCCUUUUACAUGGCAUCAAUCUAACAAGGAUCAUGUAUGGCUUGUUUAAAACAAUUUAGCUCAUCAUUUGAGGUGAUGAUCGCUACGAACAUUUUGUGAGAGUCAGAGAGUUUGUCGUAAGAUAAGAAAUUGGAAAUCAGGUGUACAUUCGAGGAGCAUUGAUUUGAUGUGAAAUGUGUAUGAUUGACCGAAGAGGGGUUGCAAAAUAUAGUCACUCAAGUGUUUUAGAGGAGCACGAUUUCUUUGAUGCCCCAUGGUGGUUUGGGUUUUUGGGCUCUCGAGAGAAGUGUCAAGAUCCAAAUUUUAUAGGCUAGUGACCCCACAAUCAGCUUGUGGGAUCACGUUCUCAUCUUGGACCCAUAAGCUUGGAUUAUUAGAUGGGAUCUCAAUCUCUUGUUCAUGUUCUUCAAUCUGUGUUCCAUGAUAUUUUUUCUCGUGAAAUUGAACUAGAGUGUCAUAAAAAAUCACUCGGUCCCUCAUUGUCAUGCAUAGAAUUUAUGGGAAAAGGAAAGAUGUCCUCAUGAAACUUGGUGUCCCUGGAUACAACAAUUUUCCUUUUCUCUAUGAUGUAAGUCUUAUAUCCUUUCGUUCCAUGUGCAUAGCCUAAGAAGAUGCCUGGUCUCCCCCUCACUUCGAGUUUGUCACCUUUCGAUUUAUUGCUCCUGUAAUAUGUUAAACAACCAAAUACCUUCAUGAGUUCAUAAUCGGAUUUUUGGCCAAAUAACACUUCAUAUGGGGUUUUGUUUGAAAGGAAUGUAGAUGGAAAUCGAUUGAUGAUGUAGGCAGUAGUCAACACACACUCUCCUUAAAAUUUCUUUAUAAUAUGAGCUUCAAACCUUAACGCUCGCGCUAUAUCCAAAAGAUGUAUGUGUUUCCGCGUAACAACCCUAUUUUGCUGGGUAUCUGAGGACAAGUUGUUUCAAAUAGAAUGCCUUGUUUUUUUGUAAAAAUCAGUCAUGGCAUGGGAGGUGGAUUCACCCCCAUUAUCACUCCUUUAUAUACAAUACAAUAAAUGAUAUUUAAGGACAUGAUAUCUAGCUCGAAAAUAGGAUAUAAAUAAUAAAAAUAAAUCAAAUCCAAUACUCCCCUUCUUGUCUAGAAGAAAAUGAAGAUGUUGAGAACCUAAUCCUUUCGUGAAUAAGUCAACAAGCUAGAACUUGGUAUCAAUGCCCAUAGGUUGAACUUCCUUAGAAUCUACUCUCUCGUUAACAAAAUAGCAAUCGAUUUCCACAUGUUUGGUGCAUUCAUGAAAGACAGGGUUAUUAGCAAUAUGGUGAGCAACUUGUUUGUUACAAAAAUGAAUAGUAGAGCCAUGUUGAUCAACACCUAACUCUUUUAACAACUAAUGCAUCCAAAUGAUUUCACUAAUUGUAGUGCCCAUGACACGGUAUUCAGCUUCAGCAGGAGAUCGGAAACUAGAGAUUGGUUUUUUUUUCAUGUGAUUGGGGCUUCUCCUAAAAGAAGAAGAUAACCUAUCCAAGAAUGCCUUUUCAUGGGACAGCCAAGCCAAUCCGGGUAAGAGUAAGCCACAAGGUCAUUACCACCUAAUCGCGGUAGAAGAAUUCCUUGAUUAGGGCUAGUCUUAAGAUAACGAAGGACGUGCAGAAGAGCAUCAAGAUGAUGUUGUUUAGGAUCAGAGUUAAACUAGCUAAGAAUGUUAUUUGAUUAAGCUAUGUUAGGUGUCGUUGCUCUUAAAUAAAGAAGUUUACCAGUCAUUCGUUGGUAUUGAUUCACAUCAAGCUUUGGUUGGUUCUCAUCUUGAUCAAUUUAAGAUUUUUCUCUAUUAGAAACGAACUAGGGCGAGCUCCCAUCAUACCAUUGUCUUUUAAAAAUCAUUCUUCAAUUUGUCACCUUUGCAUUCAUUAUUAGAUGGGUUCUCAAUCUCUUGUUCACAUUCUUCAAUCUGUGUUCCAUGAUUUUUUUUCUUGUGAAAUUGAACUGAAGUGUCAUAAAAAAUCACUCGGUCCCUUAUCGUCAUGCAUAAAAUUUAUAAGAAAAGGAAAGAUCUCCUCAUGAAACUUGGUGUCCCUGGAUACAACAAUUUUCCUUUUCUCUAUGAUGUAAAUCUUAUAUCCUUUCAUUCCAUGUGCAUAACCUAAGAAGAUGCCUAGUCUCCCCCUCACUUCGAAUUUGUCACCUUUGCAUUCAUUACUCCUGUAAUAUAUCAAACAAACAAUUACCUUCAUGAGUUCAUAAUCGGAUUUUGGCCAAAUAACACUUCAUAUGGGGUUUUGUUUGAAAGGGAUGUAUAUGGCAAUCGAUUGAUGAUGUAGGCAGCAAUCAACACACACUCUCCCUAAAAUUACUUUAUAAUACCAGCUUCAAACCUUAAGGCUCGCGCUAUAUCCAAAAGAUGUAUGUGUUUCCGCUAAACAACCCUUUUUUGUUGGGUAUAUUAGGACAAGUUGUUUCAAAUAGAAUGCCUUGUUUUUUUGUAAAAAUCAGUCAUGGCAUAGGAAGUGAAUUCACUCCCAUUAUCAGUUCUUACUCUUUUGAUUCGUUUCCCAAAUUGAUUUUUAACCAUUUUAUGAAAAUCGAUUAAUCAAUUACCAACAUCAUCUUUAACAAUAUUAAGGAAAUAACUGGAAAUAACUGGAACCCGUGAGGGAAGGUAUAUGGUAUUUUCCCUAAACAUCACAAUGAAUUAAUUUAAAACAUUGACUUGUCUUUGUUUGACUAAAAAAAAGACAUUGUAUGUUUUGCCUUGGAGCAAGAAUCACAUACUUUAUUCUUAAAACUAGAAGCAAUGUUUUUAAGAAAAUCUAAUUUACCUAACUUUCCUUCUGAAGCAUGACCUAAUCUCUUGUGUCAUUUAUCAGUCGUGACAUGCAUUGCCUUUCUCUUUUCUUCAAAACUCCCCAUAUGAUAUAGCCCCCUUUGACAAUAACCCGCACCAAUCAAGUUCCUCGAUCGGAGACCCUGCAUUACACAAAAAUCCGGAAAAAGAUUAUGGCAUACCGAAGGCUUUUUGCUAACCAACUAACAGAAAAAAGAUUGCAAUUAGAUUGAGGGACGUGAAGGAUUCCUUCAAUUUUUGUGUGACACGGUAAGGUGUAAUCUCCUCUUCCUUCAACCUAUAGGGAAUCUCCAUUAGGUAUCACAACAGGCCUCUCACAUGCAUAUUUAGUUUUGUUGUUGAGAAUGUCGACUCUAUAAGUAGUAUGUUUGGUUGCACUAGAAUCAAUUACCCAAUCGGCCUCAUCAUCCAAUCUACUUGCCAUGCUAGCCAUUGGCAUAGUUUCUUCAAAUUCAUGUUUAGUGGAUGCUCCAAAGUGCUUCAAGAAGGCUUCAUAUUGAUCUAUUUUAAGACCUGGAAUGGAGCUGAUGAUGACACAAGCAACUCUCGGUUUAUCUUUGUCUACUUUGCCUUCGCCCGACCACCAAUCCGGAUACCCAAUGCAUUUAAAACACCCAUCACAUUUGUGACCAUCUUUAUCACAAAACGUGCAGUGUUGUGUUUCAGACUCUAGCUUUGUGGAACUUUGAUUUCUCUUAUUCUUUUGCCAAUAGUUCCCGACUUGUUUUGGUUGGCACAAAAGUCUUAAAGGCAUCAACCUAUAUGGAGGAUCUUUUGUCGUUGCUGAUGUUUCUUUGACGUCUGUAUUUAGAGAAUAGGUGAUAGGGAGAUCCUAGACCUGGUGUUGGAGAAGUAGAAAGUAUUUGGGUUUUGAUGAAAUUGAAGUCACCAUCGAGGCCCAUGAGAAACUCAUACAAUCUCUCAUAUUCUUGAUGUUCAACGAGACCUCUUCCAAUUCCACAGAUGCAUCCAUUGUAGGUGCACUUCGGUGUAGGGCACAUAAAUUGAAUUUCAUCCGAUAUUGAUCAUAGCUUGGUGUAGUAGGCAGAUACAGAAAUCCCAUAUUUUCGGGUGGUGAUGAUUUGGUUCUUUAGUUCAUAAGCUCUAAGAGAACUUUAUUUCCUAAAUCUUUCACGGUGAUCCAACUAUAUUUCUUAAUGUAUUUGACAUGGCUUCUUUUUUUUUUUCAUGGCUGUAAAAAGCCAUCCCAUUGUUAUUGCAUCUCAUCUCAUCCAUGCCAUGUAGUCCUAUGAUGUCUUCUCUGGUUUCACCAUGGUGUUAUCUAUGAACCCAAUUUAUUCUUGGCGAACAAAAAAUUCUCUAUCUCGUGGACCCAAUCCGUGUAGUUCUUAUCAGAAAAAGCUUUGUUGACUUGUAUUUGUCUGGGAGCAUCGGAUGGGUGAAUAUAGUAACGAGAGUCAUGAUCUGGUGUGUUGUUGUUACAGUUCUUGUUGGAAGCCUUGACACUGUUACCGGCCAUGGUGAUGGAGAUUUAGGGUUUCAGAGAGCAGCUAGGUUUCCCUAUUCUAAUACCAUCUUAAAUUACAUUCAUUCCUAUUUCAUCAUAGAUCAAAAAGAUCCUUUAUAUACAAUACAAUAUAAAGCUAAGAUAUCUAGCUAGAAAAUAGGAGAUAAAUAAGAAGAAUAAAUCAAAUCCAAUGCAAUGGUUGCUCAUGCUCGUGGAGAAUUGUGGUGGGGAUGAUAGAUUACCACGAAGAAUGGGAGGAGAGGACCAUUUUUCAUAAUGUUUUUUUAACAAAAAAUAAAAUUUACCUAUAUAACACAACCUUUGACCACCAUAUUUUCAAAAAAUUUCUCUUUAUACCCUCUAAAAUAUUAUGUUGAUGGAUUUUUUCACAAAUUUUUAUUCGGAUGAAAGAAUGUACAAAUUUUUUACAUACAAGAGCGGUUGUCUAUCGAUAUCGCCAAGCCACAUAUGAUCUAUUGGUACCUGAUUAUUUUUCCGAUAAUUCUAUUUAUAAUGAUGCGGAAUUUGAAUGUCGUUUCUGUCUGAAUAGGGCAAUAUUUUUAUGUAUUAGUAAUGUUUUAGAAGCGCUAUAUGAUAUUUUUGAAGCAAAAAUUCAAUGCUAGAGGUAGAUUAGGCUAUAGUAGUAUACACAAAUGUGCGACUGUACAUAGAUAUUUAGGAUACGGUAUAGCUUUUGAUGCAUCAUGUGACAACUCAAAAUUUAUUCCGUUGCGAUAUCCCAUUUCCGUUAAUAGAAUAUUUUAUUUUAUUAUUAAUAUUAAGAUUUCCGUUAACAGUUGGGUUAGACAAAUCAUCUAAUGAUUUAUUUUAUUUUAGUGUCGAAAUGAAAUAAAUAAAAACACGUGUAAUACCCUCAAAUUUAUUUGGGAAAAAUUUCUAGUUUACAAAUAAGCCGAGUUACGACCAUUUAAUCGGGUAAAAUUUAAAUUCCGUUUAACGUUGGUAUGGGGUGGAUCCCCACCUGGCCACAAACUCAAGUCCUAUAUAAGGGUUGAGAGGUCACCAACUUGAACUUUUUACCACUCUAGUCACUCUAUCUCUCUACUGUCUCUCUUCAAGGCCCGAUUCUUCCAAAAAUCCACAAGUUUCCGCUCCCAAACUAUAAGUUCUCUUACCAUAGAUUGUUCUAAAGCUCAUUACAUGUCUAUAUAGCUUGAAAAUCAUCCAUGAAGGCCAAGAACAAGGAAUUUAUGGCCCAAGAACCCCUAUUAGGCCGUAAACCCCUAAAAGUGUGCCAAAAUGCCCCAAAUCCCUCCCUUAGGCUUAGAGGUUAACUUGGAACUUACCCUUGAAGUGUUUUAGACGUCAAAAUAUAUGUUUGGAGGUUUGAAAGAGGGUUUACGGCCCAAGAACAUUCUAAGGCCGUCAACUCCCUCAAAUGAUGCAAAAUGAGCCUAAACCCCUUAUUUAGCCUUAGACCAUAAACUAGAAACUUGUAAGAAUGAGCUUAGGACCUCAAAACAAAGGAAAAGGGUGUGUCUAAGGGUUUACGGCUGUAAACCAUAGAGUUUAUGACCGUAAACUCCCAUGGAGUGGCCCUAGGACCGCAAACUCUAGGGAGUGCCCCUUUUGAACCCUAAACACCCCUCAAGCGUUGGAAUUGAUCUUAGAAUCCUUCCUAGCGAUACAAUAGACCUUAAGGAACACAAAUACACUCCUCCCAUGAGUUUACGGCCAUAAACUCAUGGGGGAAUGGGUCCCUCAACCUCAAACUCACCUAAGGUGAGUAUUUGAGGAGUAAACUCCAUAGUGAGGCCUUACACUCCUUCCUUGCAACCUAAUAGCCUCCUAGCACUUGACCAAAGCGUUUUUCUUCGCAUUAGGAUGCCUAUACAUGUUAAAUUAGUGUUUUAAUCACUAAUUAUAUGUAAACAUAUGUCUUCAUAUGUUACUAGGGUCAUAAUGUGUGUUUAAGUCUUCACUUGACACCAAACACUCAACCGAGACUUUCAUCCGAUCCAUUCGCUACAGGUGAGUUCAUACCCCUUAAUUAACCUUUCAAUUGUUUUUAAAUGUUUUUAUGGGGGGGGAGGAAUACAAGUUGAAUCCAACAAUUUAUAUUAUCAAUCACAUGCGAUUUGUAGCUUACAAUCAAAAAAGGGAUUCUAUACUUUCAACUGUUUGUCUUCAAAAAGUUAUUUUCAAUGUUAUUCAAACUCAUUUUUCUGUAAAUUUGUUAUCAAAAAUAUUUUCAAACUCUUUUAAACUGUUUAUGUUUUUAAGAUGUAUCCACACCAAUAUAUUUAUAUAAGUAGGACUAGAAGGACCUAGGACUGAUAGCUCGCCUUAUUACCUGUUCUUGUUUGAUUGGGGUCUUGGGGAUAUUGUUAUCUGUCCGAAUGUCAUUGAAUUCUUCUUUAUAUAUUGUAUAUAUUUGUGUUGGAUAUGAAUACCUUCGUUUACUCCAAUAUUUAUUAGUAUCCAAGAACGACGGCAACAUGCCAGUUAACUAUAAUAGUUAUAGUCAAGGUUUACCACUCCUCGCUACUAUUACUAUGGUACUUACUACCGUUAGUGCUAUUAUGAGUUGCUACAUGUUAAAUACUAUACAGGAAGAAUACAAUAUGCUAUAACAGAAGAAUACUAAAUACAUUAUACCGAGAAGCAUACUAUAAACUAAUACAAAAGAACAUACUAAUACAGAGUGUGAUGUAAUAUUUCUACAUACGGCACUUUACUGCGCCUCCACCGUGUAACCUUAGUCUCCUGGAGGGAUAGCGGCAACUAUGUGUGUAGAUCUAUACAGGGCGGAAACUUACACAUCCUGACUGGUAGGUACAGUCCGAGCCGUCUAGUCCCAGGGAUGAUAACAUGCUACUACACUACAUAUGACCUGGAGGGUCAUGAUACAUUUAAUCGCCUAUCCGCAUGGUUACAUACUUAUUCACAUUCGGAACCCUAAUCUAACAAAUUACAAAUUGUAGGUAAAGUAGACUCUCCGAGGUGUAUUAAAUACAUAUCGCUACCUAGAGUCUAUGGUUAAUUACCAUCCAAUCGGUAGUAACACCACUAGAAUAAUACAUUAUCAACCCAUUUACGUUGUUCAAGUGAAGUCCAAAUUAUAUUUUAUAAUUAUGAGUCUAAUUGGGAAAAAAAUUUACACACUCAAAGGAUCAAACUUACAAGUAAUCAAGUCUUGGCAGAAGACUACUCUUAUUAGAAAAUAUAGGAUUUUCAAGAGAUUCACACUAUUUUCAAACUUAAUAACAACUUUCAUGUUAUACGAUUGUAAACAUUUUUAUACGAGCAAUGACAGUAAAUUCUUAUGAACUCACCAGCUUUAUGCUGAUACUCGUUUUCAAAAUAACUUGUUUUCUCAGGUCGGCAAUAGACAGGUAUAGAUGCUGUUUUUGAGAAGAUGGAGCGCACACAAGACUCGUCUUUAUUUUUUAUUAUACUUUUGGUGUCUAACAAACUGUACAGAACACGCUUGUAUUACAAUUACUAUAUUGAUGAAAUCAAUGUUGUUGCUUGUUUUUACUAUUAUGCAUUGUUAUGAUACUGUACAUGACGUCCUCCACCCCAGAAUGUAUUCCGCCGUUCUCGGUUUUGGGGUGUGACAGAUUGGUAUCAGAGCAUUGUUUAUAGUGAAUCAAGUAUAUCAACCCAUAAAAGAUAUACGAACUAUAAACACUUCGGGACUAAAACACUCUGACCAAGAAUAUAUACUUUUAAAUACUAAAAUAUUUAACUAAGUAUAUAUAUAUACGCAUCCAUUAAUACAAAGGAUCAGUAUCAUACUAGAACAGAACGAAAGUAUUAAGAUUGUUGAAUAGCACAAUUAGGCUUAUAGACAUAUAGUCACUCCUGGUUGGAUGUAGCCUGAUCAACUACAUUUUCCUAGGAGUGACUAGCAUGUGCCUAAGACUGAUGGUGGUGUUGCAACAAGUCUAAAAACUUACCAACACUACCACAAGAACAUUAGAACAAGAAUACUAUAGGAGUAUUCUGCAUUCUACUAACCACAUAUGUGAUAACUAAAAGGGGUUGUUACUAGUAGGGCAAUAGUUUCUAAGUGGAUACACCAUGGUUACAUGUGACUAGGGCGCUAUAGACUUAGAAUCUGUGACCUUUGCUUCAUUUCUUGUUCUUGUCUGAUUGGGGAUCUGGAGUUAGGGUUCUUUAUUCAAAGGACUAUCUUGCUUCGGUUACAUGUAUCUGGUAUGCACUAUGCAAGUAUUGGGUCGACUAAUAAAUACCAUCUUAUAAGUAUCCUAGAUUAGUAAGUCUAUUAACCUUUCUUUCCCCAUUCUCGCGUAGAUAGCAUGGCUGGCUUCCACCUUCCCGGCGAUCCGUAUUACCCAAACCAAGGCAAUGGAGGAUGGCGAUGAGGAUCNGAUGAGGAUCCAGAAGAUGAUCACCCGAUCCCUUUGGAUGAUCACCAUGCAGAAGGCUUUUCAGAUAGCUCCAGCUCUGAGCCAGAAGUCAACAACCUACCCCCUGUAGCUCCAAAACCCAACCCCCGCCCAGCAUUUCAAGGUCCCACUCCCAUGUGGGCAUCAACCUUGAACCGAUGGAGCGAUGAACAAGGUCAGCCUUUACCUUUCAACGGAGACCGAAGCUUCUACAACGUAAGCGAGGGUGGCUCAGCUGAUCGAGCCCUACCCGUCAUGGUUCGGAGGAUUGCUAGAAAUGUUGAGCAAGGUCAUGCAGCGAUCGACAAAUUUGUGGAAAUUGAUGCCAACUCUAACCUUAACAUUGUCCGUAUCUGCCAACUGGAAGAAGCUAUGGAUAGGACAAGGAGAACCAAUGAGGCUAUGCAGCAACAGCUAGCGGCAUCCCGAGCCGAAGUUAGGGAACUCCGAGCAUGCCAGAGAGAGCAAGAAAUACAUCUUCAAGAAGUUGUGUGCCAACUGGCUGAUCUUAGGGUUCGCUUAACGGAUACCCAUCGCCAGUAGAAGAUGUCCACUUAUCUCUCUCUUUUGUUUAAGGAAUAGCCUUUUCUUCUCUAUGCUCGGUAGAGCACUUGUCUGUAAACAUUCCUAACUUUGAAAGUACUUUACCUAGGAUCCUAAACUGCCAACAUUUUCCUUAUGGUUUGAUGUAAGACCUACUGUUAGGUCACUUUUCCCGAACUCACAUUACAUCAUUAAUACCAGUAAUAUUGGCAGUUACCUACUCUGUUGCUAUGACUCUCUCUGAUUUUUCGGCUAUGUUGAUUUAGUCCAGUAAACGCUCUUAUCAUACUUGAAAUAGACUCUUACUAUUUUCAGCAUCUCUAUGAACUUUCAGUAAAAGAUGCCUCCUCACAAGCGCCCGAACAGAGGCAAACCUGCGAGUCAAACCCCACCUCCACCACCUCCUCCUCCGCAGUUCGAUCCAGUGCUGUUUCAAACAGCGAUGACCGCAACUGUGACGGAAGCCAUGGCCCAAAUGAAUUAUGGCGAUGCUAGUGGAGCCAGAAUGGGCACCAACUCCAGACAUGGUGAAAUUCCCUCACGUACACAGGGGUGUACUUAUAAGGAUUUCAUGAACUGUAAACCAACAUUUUUCAAUGGGACCGAAGGAAUCCUUGCUCUGUCCCAAUGGAUCGAAAGAAUCGAAGCCGUCUUUGAAAUGUGCUCAUGCGCCGAAGAAAUCAAAAUAAAGUUUGCUGCUGCCACUUUCACUGAAAGGGCCCUGACAUGGUGGAAUGGCCAUGUCAAUUCACUCUCUUUAGUAACAGUCAACGCCAUGGGCUGGGACACACUAAAGGACCUACCGAGAAGGGAGUACUUCCCUAGAGGUGAGGUUCAGAGACUUGAGGAGGAACUCUGGAAUCUCAAGAUGAAAGGGGUAGACAUAGUGGCAUAUAAAACCAGGUUCUGCGACCUGGUAGCUAUGUGCCCUAACAUGAUCCCCUCUGAAAGCAAGAAAAUUGAACAAUACAUCUAGGGUUUAGUGCCCCCAUAUCAAGGAAACGUUCUAUCUUCACAUCCUACAACCUUUGACAGCGCCAAGGAGUUGGCCCACAGGUUGAUUGAUCAUGAAACUCCUUCCACUCCAUCAACAGCAACAACAACCGCCACUGUACCGCCCAAGACAUCCGACAACAAGAGGAAAAGGUGGGACAAAAAGAGGGACAAGAAAGCUCAAUCCUCUUCUAAAAACAAACAGAUGUUGGCUGUCCAUGCUGCCACCACUCAUGCUACCCCUGUACCAGCAAAAGCCUAUAUUGGAAACCUGCCCAAGAGCCCAAAGUGCCCUUUUCAUCAUAACGGCCCCUGCCGUGAAAUGCACUGCACAAAUUGCGAUCGGAAGGGCCAUACCGCCCGCUUUUGCAGAUCUCAACCCAAACCCAUCUCUCAGGUCUCCGGUUCUGGAGUUAGCCAAGCCUGUUACGGCUGUGGCGAAGUGGGGCACUUCAAGAAAAACUGCCCAAAAGCUGGAAAUACGGGAGGAACGGGGAAACUACUUGCUAUUGGCCACAGUGAAGCAGUAGCAGACCCCACAGUAGUCACGGGUACGUUCCUUCUCAACAACUCUUACGCUUGUAUCUUAUUCGAUAGUGGGGAAGAAAGAAGCUUUAUAAACCAAAACUUUAAACACUUACUUAAGUUCUAAUGAUAUCUACCUAGGUUGUACCCUCACACUAGAUGAUCAUUCGUUCCCAGUCGACCUCAUACCAGUAUCGAUCAAGAGCUUCGAUGUCAUUGUGGGCAUGGACUGGUUGAGUCUCCAUCGUACUGAUAUCUUGUGUUUCGACAAAUCAAUCCAUCUAAAUCUACCGAAUAACGAAACCCUGUUAAUCUACGGGGACAAACCUAGUACAAGCCUUCGCAUCAUCUCGAGUAUUCAAGACCAGAAGUACUUGCACAAGGAAUAUCGCGCAUUCCUUGCACACGUUGUCGAAACGAGCCAGAAAAUGAAAGAUCUAAAAGACUUCCCCAUUGUAUGAGACUUCCCCGACGUCUUUCUAGAGGAGCUACCAGGUUUACCUCCCAAACGUCAGGUUGAGUUCAGAAUCGAUCUAAUUCUGGGAGCUACCCCCAUAGCCAAAUCGCCCUAUCGUCUAGCACCUGUUGAGAUGCAAGAACUGUCCAGUCAACUUAACGAGCUGCUCAGCAAGGGCUUUAUAAGACCGAGCUUCUCACCCUAGGGAGCACUGGUCUUGUUCGUGAAGAAGAAGGACAGAUCGUUUCGUAUGUGCAUCGAUUAUAGGGAGCUCAACAAACUCACGGUCAAAAAUAGUUACCCUCUUCCCCGUAUAGACGAUUUAUUUGACCAACUGCAAGGGGCGACUUACUUCUCCAAGAUUGAUCUAAGGUCUAGGUAUCAUCAAUUGCGAGUGCUUGAGGAGGAUGUCCCGAAAACUGCUUUCCGAACUCGUUACAGACACUACGAGUUCGUAGUGAUGCCCUUCGGACUGACCAACGCACCCGCAGUAUUCAUGGACUUAAUGAAUAAGGUGUGUCGUCCUUACUUAGAUCAGUUCGUCAUCGUCUUCAUCGAUGACAUACUUGUCUACUCUCGGAGUAAGGAGGAGCAUAGCGAUCAUCUACGACGAGUCCUAGAAACCCUGCGAUCGGAGAAGUUAUAUGCGAAGUUCUCUAAGUGCGAAUUCUGGAUCCGAAGAGUCGAAUUCUUGGGACACGUGGUUAGCGAGGAAGGAAUCCACGUGGACCCAUCCAAGAUUAAAGCUAUCGAGAACUGGUCAGCACCGAAGACGCCUACAGAAAUUCGUCAAUUUCUAGGCCUCGCUGGCUACUACCGCAGAUUCAUUCAGAACUUGUCUAGGAUCGCGAAACCCCUUACCACAUUGACCCAGAAGGGCAUGACCUUUGACUGAGGAGAGAAACAGGAGAAAGCAUUCCAGACCUUGAAACGAGGCUUAUGCACCGCACCAAUACUAUCCCUCCGCGAGGGGACAAAAGAUUUUGUAGUAUAUUGCGAUGCGUCUAACCAGGGGCUCGGUGGUGUCUUGAUGCAAGGAGGUAAGGUCAUCGCCUAUGCCUCGAGGCAGCUGAAGACAUAUGAGGUUAACUACACCAUGCACGACCUCGAGUUAGGAGUGGUUGUAUUCGCUCUAAAGAUCUAGAGACAUUACCUGUAUGGUACGAAGAGCACAAUAUACACUGACCACAAAAGCCUCCAACACAUACUGAACCAGAAGGAGCUCAAUAUGAGACAACGACGGUGGGUCAGCUACUAAAUGAUUAUGACUGCGAGAUUCGUUAUCACCCGGCAAAAGCCAAUGUAGUAGCAGACGCCCUAAGUCGAAAAGAAUAUUCUGGUUGAAGAGUCAGGUCAUUAACAAUGACUAUCCAUUCGCAUUUAUCCGCACAGAUUAUGGAGGCUCAGCUCGAAGCUUUGAAGCCUGAGAAUGUGGUGGGAGAAUCCCUACGAGGAAUGGAUAAGAACUUGGAGGUCAAGGGUGACAGAGCCUUAUAUCUCAUGGACCGAAUCUGGACACCGCAUCACAGUGGUUUCAAAGACUUGGUCAUGAAGGAAGCACACAACACUUGAUAUUCCGUUCACCCAGGUUCAGAUAAGAUGUAUCUGGAUCUUAAAAAGUCAUAAUGUUGGCCUAACAUUAAAGCAGAGAUUGCUACCUUCGUGAGUAAAUGCCUUACUUGCGCGAAGGUCAAGGUCGAAUACCAGAAGCCAUCAGGUCUACUAUAGCAACCGGAGAUACCUGAAUGGAAGUGGGAGUGAAUCACUAUGGAUUUCAUAACCAAGCUACCCAAGACAACAGGUGGGCUUGAUACCAUAUGGGUCAUCGUCGACAGAUUGACCAAGUCCGCACACUUCCUACCCAUCAAAGAGACAGAUAAGAUGGAGAAACUCACAAGAACAUACAUUAAGGAAAUCAUACGACUGCAUGGUGUCCCUAUAUAUAUAAUCUCUGAUAGAGAUAGUAGGUUCACUUCGAGAUUUUGGCAAUCACUACAAAGCGCCUUAGGGACGAGGUUGGACAUGAUUACAGCCUACCAUCAGCAGACCGACGGGCAAAGUGAGAGGACUAUCCAAACCCUGGAAGAUAUGUUGCGAGCCUGUGUGAUCGACUUUGGUAAGGCUUGCGAUACCCACUUACCCCUUGUUGAGUUUUCAUACAACAACAGCUAUCACACGAGCAUCAAAGCAGCUCCAUUCGAAGCCCUCUACGGCCGAAAGUGCAGAUCCCCUCUGUGCUGGGCUGAGGUGGGUCCGGAAAUCAUUCGAGAAAUGACCGAGAAGAUCAUACAGAUUCGUGAAUGAUUAAAAGCCGCUAGAGAUCGACAGAAAAGCUAUGCAGACAAACGAAGAAAACCUUUGGAAUUCCAGGUAGGAGACCGAGUCCUUUUGAAAGUCUCACCUUGGAAAGACACGAUACGCUUUGGAAAGCGUGGAAAGCUGAAUCCAAGGUACAUAGGGCCUUUCGAGAUUCUCGCUAGAAUCGGCCCCGUAGCCUACAAACUUAAUCUACCCUGCGAGCUCAGUAACAUACAUCCUACCUUCCAUGUCUCAAACCUGAAAAAGUGCCUAUCCGACGAGACUCUCGUAAUCCCACUCGACGAGAUCGAGGUCAACAAGAGCCUUAACUUCGUGGAAGAGCCUACGGAGAUCAUGAAGAGGUCAAACGAAUGAAACUAAGCCGCAUCCCAAUUGUGAAGGUUCACUGGAACGCUAAACGAGGACCGGAGUUCACUUAGGAGCGCGAGGAUCAAAUGAAACUCAAAUAUCCUCAUCUCUUUGCUUAGUUGUAUUGUAAUAACUUAGCUACUUAAAUUCGAAAUUUCGGGACGAAAUUUCCUCAAUGGGGGGAUGAUGUGACAACUCGAAAUUUAUUCCAUUGCGAUAUCCCAUUUCCGUUAAUAGAAUAUUUUUUUUUAUUAUUAAUAUUAAGAUUUCCGUUAACAGUUGGGUUAUACAAAUCAACUAAUGAUUUAUUUUAUUUUAUUGUCGAAAUGAAAUAAAUAAAAACACGUGUAAUACCCUCAAAUUUAUUUGGGAAAAAUUUCUAGUUUACAAAUAAGCCGAGUUACGACCAUUUAAUCGGGUAAAAUUUAAAUUCCAUUUAACGUUGGUAUGGGGUGGAUCCCCACCUGGCCACAAACUCAAGUCCUAUAUAAGGGUUGAGAGGUCACCAGCUUGAACUUUUUACCACUCUAGUCACUCUAUCUCUCUACUGUCUUUCUUCAAGGCCCGAUUCUUCCAAAAAUCCACAAGUUUCCGCUCCCAAACUGUAAGUUCUCUUACCAUAGAUUGUUCUAAAGCUCAUUACAUGUCUAUAUAGCUUGAAAAUCAUCCAUGAAGGCCAAGAACAAGGAGUUUAUGGCCCAAGAACCCCUAUUAGGCCGUAAACCCCUAAAAGUGUGCCAAAAUGCCCCAAAUCCCUCCCUUAGGCUUAGAGGCUAACUUGGAACUUACCCUUGAAGUGUUUUAGACAUCAAACAUUAUGUUUGGAGGUUUGAAAGAGGGCUUACGGCCCAAGAACAUUCUAAGGCCGUCAACUCCCUCAAAUGAUGCAAAAUGAGCCUAAACCCCUUAUUUAGCCUUAGACCAUAAACUAGAAACUUGUAAGAAUGAGCUUAGGACCUCAAAACAAAGGAAAAGGGUGUGUCUAAGGGUUUACGGCUGUAAACCAUAGAGUUUACGACCGUAAACUCCCAUGGAGUGGCUCUAGGACCGCAAACUCCAAGGGAGUGCCCCUUUUGAAUCCUAAACACCCCUCAAUCCUUGGAAUUGAUCUUAGAAUCCUUCCUAGCGAUAAAAUAGACCUUAAGGAACACAAAUACACUCCUCCCAUGAGUUUACGGCCGUAAACUCAUGAGGGAAUGGGUCCCUCAACCGCAAACUCACCUAAGGUGAGUAUUUGAGGAGUAAACUCCAUAGUGAGGCCUUGCACUCCUUCCUUGCAACCCAAUAGCCUCCUAGCACUUGACCAAAGCGUUUUUCUUCGCAUUAGGAUGCCUGUACAUGUUAAAUUAGUGUUUUAAUCACUAAUUAUAUGUAAACAUAUGUCUUCUUAUGUUACUAGGGUCAUAAUGUGUGUUUAAGUCUUCACUUGACACCAAACACUCAACCGAGACUUUCAUCCGAUCCACUCGCUACAGGUGAGUUCAUACCCCUUAAUUAACCUUUCAAUUGUUUUUAAAUGUUUUUAUGGGGGGGAGGGAGGAAUACAAGUUGAAUCCAACAAUUUAUAUUAUUAAUCACAUGCGAUUUGUAGCUUCCAAUCAAAAAGGGAUUCUAUACUUUCAACUGUUUGUCUUCAAAAGUUAUUUUCAAUGUUAUUCAAACUCAUUUUUCUGUAAAUUUGUUAUGAAAAAUAUUUUCACACUCUUUUAAACUGUUUAUGUUUUUAAGAUGUAUCCACACCAAUAUAUUUAUAUAAGUAGGACUAGAAGGACCUAGGACUGAUAGCUCGCCUUAUUACCUGUUCUUGUUUGAUUGGGGUCUUGGGGAUAUUGUUAUCUGUCCGAAUGUCAUUGACUUCUUAGUUAUAUAUUGUAUAUAUUUGUGUUGGAUAUGAAUACCUUCGUUUACUCCAAUAUUUAUUAGUAUCCAAGAACGACGGCAACAUGCCAGUUAACUAUAAUAGUUAUAGUCAAGGUUUACCACUCCUCGCUACUAUUACUAUGGUACUUACUACCGUUAGUGCUAUUAUGAGUUGCUACAUGUUAAAUACUAUACAGGAAGAAUACAAUAUGCUAUAACAGAAGAAUACUAAAUACAUUAUACCGAGAAGCAUACUAUAAACUAAUACAAAAGAACACACUAAUACAGAGUGUGAUGCAAUAUUUCUACAUACGGCACUUGAUUGCGCCUCCACCGUGUAACCUUAGUCUCCUGGAGGGAUAGCGGCAACUAUGUGUGUAGAUCUAUACAGGGCGGAAACUUACACAUCCUGACUGGUAGCUACAGUCCGAGCCGACUAGUCCCAUGGAUGAUAACAUGCUACUACACUACAUAUGACCUGGAGGGUCAUGAUACAUUUAAUCGCCUAUCCGCAUGGUUACAUACUUAUUCACAUUCGGAACCCUAAUCUAACAAAUUACAAAUUGUAGGUAAAGUAGACUCUCCGAGGUGUAUUAAAUACAUAUCGCUACCUAGAGUCUACGGUUAAUUACCAUCCAAUCGGUAGUAACACCACUAGAAUAAUACAUUAUCAUCCCAUUUACGUUGUUCAAGUGAAGUCCAAAUUAUAUUUUAUAAUUAUGAGUCUAAUUGGGAAAAAAUUUUACACACUCAAAGGAUCAAACUUACAAGUAACCAAGUCUUGGCAGAAGACUACUCUUAUUAGAAAAUAUAGGAUUUUCAAGAGAUUCACACUAUUUUCAAACUUAAUAACAACUUUCAUGUUAUACGAUUGUAAACAUUUUUAUACGAGCAAUGACACUAAAUUCUUAUGAACUCACCAGCUUUAUGCUGAUACUCGUUUUCAAAAUAACUUGUUUUCUCAAGUCGGCAAUAGACAGGUAUAGAUGCUGUUUUUGAGAAGAUGGAGCGCACACAAGACUCGUCUUUAUUUUUUAUUAUACUUUUGGUGUCUAACAAACUGUACAGAACACGCUUGUAUUACAAUUACUAUAUUGAUGAAAUGAAUGUUGUUGCUUGUUUUUAAUAUUAUGCAUUGUUAUGAUACUGUACAUGACGUCCUCCACCCUAGAAUGUAUUCCGCCGUUCUCGGUUUUGGGGUGUGACAGGCUGUCCCAUGAAAAGGCAUUCUUGGACAGGUUAUCUUCUUCUUUUAGGAGGAGCCCCAAUCUUAUGGAAAAAAAACAAUCUCUGGUUUCCGAUCUCAUCCUGAAGCUGAAUACCGUGUCAUGGGCACUACUGUUAAUGAAAUCAUUUGGAUGCAUUAGUUGUUAAAAGAGCUAGGUGUUGAUCAACAUGGCUCUAAUCUUCAUUUUUGUAACAAAUAAGUUGCUCACCAUAUUGCUAAUAACCCUAUCUUUCAUGAAUGCACCAAACAUGUGGAGAUGGAUUGCUAUUUUGUUCGUGAGAGAGUUGAUUCUAAAGAAGUUCAAUCGAUGGGCAUUGAUACCAAGUUCUAGCUUGCUGACUUAUUCACGAAAGGAUUAAGUGCUCAGCAUCUUCGUUUUCUUCUAAAGAAGAAGGGGAGUAUUGGAUGUGAUUUAUUUUUGUUAUUUAUCUCCUAUUUUUUUUAACUAGAUAUCCUAUCCCUUAAUAUCAUUUAUUGUAUUGUAUAUAAAGGAUCUUUUUGAUCUCUGAUAAAAUAAGAAUGAACGUAAUUUAAGACACUGAGGGUCGGGAUAGUGUGCACGGUCAUUUUUUCAUGGCCACGUCGACCACCACGAACCUUAUGCACGGUAUACCGAAAUGUCUAAGCUAGUCAAGUCUAGAGAACUGAAUGUAUCAUCUAUCGAUAUUAGAAGUCAUUAUAUUAUAGGCGUGUUCGACACACAUCGUUUGGGAGCUUUUGGAUUCUAGCUUUUAAGAAAACGUUAGUAAAAAAAAACAUCGUUCGGCGACAAGAGCGUUUAGCUUUUAACCUAAACAGAACGCUUCAAAAUCAAAAGCUACAUGGAGUAGUUUUCAACAAAACGUUCCAAAAUCAAAAAUCUAUCCGCUACCAGCUACCCGCUACCCGCUAACCACUAACCACUACCCCCUAGUUUUGCCGAACACGCCCUAUUUCUUUUCUAAGUAUUAAAACAUUUAUAUUUUUUAUUUUUGUUAGACUAAUGUCUUGCAACUGAAAAAAAUGGUAGUAUAGCCUACAUAUAAUUAAAAAGAUUUCUUAUUUGUACUUAUAAAUAUGUGGAAUAAACAUUAAAUUUUCUAUAAAUUAAUGGUAUUACAGUACAUUAAAGCAAAUUUCUAAAAUAUCAUUUACAAUUUUUGAAAAUGCAUAAUGUAAUGUAAUUUUUAUAUUUUUGCACAUAGGCAAUAUACAUUUGGAUUUUAUUGGGUUUACGGGUUGUAAAUUAUUAAUCUAACCAAAAUCUCAAAAUAUAAUUGUUUUAUUUAUACAAAUAACUGAAUAAGUGUAGAUAAUUGUUAUGGGUUUCCAUUGGUUUUAAAUAUUUCAAGAAAACACAUUAAGCUGGGACUUAGUUUUAUUUUUAUUUAUUUAUUUAUUUAUUAUUUUAUUUUUUUCGCAGAAAGUCACAUCGCCACGGAUAAAUUGACGGGUCACUAUUUGAAGUUAUUAUAAAAAAAAAUAUAAAAAAAAAAAAAAGGAUUACAUGCAUAUAUUACUACUAGGUUCAAGGUAAGAUGAGUAAGCUGGACAAGUUCCUUGUUAAUUUGAAUUUUCUUGAGGGUUGGGGUAAAUGUGUGGCUCUUGUGUUGUCUAAAAAGCUUUCCGAUCAUAACCCAAUAACCCUAUUAUUAAAGAAGUGGAGAUUUACUUUGGCCCGUUACCGUACAAUAAGUAGAUGCAAAAUGUUGAUUUUAUAUCGAUGUUUACAAAGGUUUGGACUGAAUUCGCACCCGAUCAGAAAGUUUCGAAUUUCACUAACUUAAAAAAGAAGCUUCAAAUGUUGAAAGACAAAAUAAAAGAUUCAGUGAAGGAUAAAAGGAGAACCGAAAAAAGGCUAAACCUAAAGCAUAUCAAAAAAUAAUUACAUAGAUUGUAAAAUGGAGAGAGGAUGUGGCUUAGAAGCUGAUAGUCUGGACCUUAGCCAAUAAUUUUAUUCUAAUUGUAAUUUACUUACCAGAAUUUUAAGCUCUUCUAUUCAAUUUCGGUAAAUUAUACGGAUGGUCCCUGUGGUUUAGGGUAAUCUGCGUAUUUGGCCUCUAACAAUUUUUUUUACUUACGAGAAUUUUAAGCAAUUUACUAAAGAAAGUUGAUCCGUCGAGAAUUUUAAGCUCUUCUAUCCAAAAAUGCAGAUUACCCUAAAAAAAGUUGAAGCAAUUUACUUACCAGAAUUUUAAGCUCUUCUAUUCGAUUUUGAAGCAUAGUAGGAAGAGAAAAAGUAUUAAUGAAAUACUAUCCGAGGAGGGAGAGGGUAAGAUUGAUCUAUCGUGAUAUUAAAAAAUAAAUUUUGGAGUAUUUAAAAACAGGUUCCAAAAACAACAUAGAGACAAGUCGUAUCAAUCCAGUGAAGAUUUUAAGACUCUAUAAUGAAGACAGGGGUACGUUAGACAAGUCGUUUGAAAAUGCGGGUUAAACAAGUCGUCGGGUUCUCAUAUGUACACAUAUAAAUUUUUCAAAACAAAUUGGCAAAUUCUUGUAAAUGAAAUAAUCAAAGUGGUUAAGGAAUUUCAAGUCUCUAAAAACAUCAAACUCCCCAAGAGAAUGUAACGCGUCGUUUAUUUCAUUAAUCCUUAAGGUGACUGAUCCAACUAGAGUUGAUGAAUUUCAGCCUAUAAGCCUAACUGGAGUGGGGUACAAAAUAAUUUCAAAAUCUUUAGCAGAUCGGCUAUAGUGGGUGGCGGGUAAGGUAUUAAGUGAACUACUAAAAUGCAUCCAUGAAGGGUAGGAAAAAUCUUGAUGGCUCGUUAAUAUUAAUGAACUAAUUGCUUUAACUAAAAAGAAAAAGAAGAUGAUGAUGAUGACGACGUUUAAAGUGGACAUUGAAAAGGCUUACAAAUCAUUGGAUUCGGAAAUACUUAAAACAUUUUAUGAACUUGAUGGGGUUUGGGAGAACAUGGAGAAUGUGGAUUAAAGUGUGCCUUGAAUCAUCUACUACUUCGGUUCUCAUCAAUGGAUUGCCUACGAAAGCUUUUGUGCCUAAAGGUGACCUCAGACAACUUGAUACGCUCUCAUCCUAACACACGUAUGUGGAAUGGUAGAGGCAGAAGAAGUUUUACUUCGUUACAAAAAGGCAUGUUUAUAAUACGCCAACUAUCAUAUAAGAUAUUUACUGACACGUAUGAUGAGUAUUUAAAUAUGAAUGAACAAAUCACUUGAAUUUCGAGACAAAAUUGCAAAAAUGGUCCCUGUGAUAUGCAUAUUUUUGGGGUUUCAGUCUAAACUUCGACUUUUUUGGAUUCAUGGUUCUUUUGGCCGAGUUUGUACUCAAAAUUAGUCCCUCGGCUUAACUUAUGUUAAGUUGUUUCUGUUAACUCCCUCAUGUGCCUCCCACACGAGGGUAUAUUUGUCUUUUCACUUCUAAGGAACCAUUUUUGCACCUGAAAAAAUAUAUCCUAAUUUAAAAAAAAAAUAUCUAUUUAUUUAUUUUAAUAAUUAAAAAAUAAAAGAGGUCUCUCUCUCUCUCUCUCUCUCUCUCUCUCUCUCUCGUUUAAGUCUGUUUUCAUCAUCUUCAAUGUCUUCAUCUUUUAAGCAUAUCACAUAAACCACCGCUAUACACCACCUUUCAACAACCAUCUCCAACCCUAGUUUUCAGAUUUGUUAUAAAUGUGGUUUUUAGAUCGAGUAAGGAAAGAAACAAGCGAGGACGACGAUUGGAGUCUUUGGCAGUUGCUGGCGAUAGUGUGGAGGGGUGGCAUCAAUCUCCUACGAGCCCUCCUUCACUGUUCCUUUUACCGAUCUGGCAUCAAAACACACAUGGGAGGGUGUAACAUCCAUAAAAUUCAUACCAAAUUUAAACUUUUUCUAUCAUAAUUAAAAGACACAGAGUAUUGUUUACAAAAUGUUUUCAAAUCAUUUUCCAUCAGAGUCUCCCAAAAAUCAUAACAUAAGGAUGAGGAGCGAUAUGGUCACGUCUUCGCCUUUCCACGGUCUCCUGAAGUACCUGAAACAAUAAACUGAACAGAACAGCCAUGCAUAUCAAGUCUACAGUAUGACUGGUCCGCCCGCACCGAGCCUUCAGUCUGUCUGGUCCACUAUCCAAGCCUCGGCACGUCUGGUCCGCCCUCUUGGGGUCUUCAUCCUAUCUGGACAGCUCGUCGGGCCUUCGGUCUAACCGGUCCCCCUGGGUAUGUUGGCCUACAGCACGAAGCAAGACCUGCCUCAACCCAACCCUAGUCGAACAACCAUGUACACAUAAACAUAUAAUCAUAUAGCAAUUUACAACUAAUCAACCGAUCCAACAAAUCACAUAACAUAGCAACAUCCUAACCAGGAUACCGACCUAACCGGUCACUAGCAUAGCAUCAUCCUAUAUACCAGGAUACCGAUCUUAACCAGGUCUCUAAUAUAUAUCAUCCUAACUACCUGGAUUCAUACAUAGCCAAGCAAUAACAUAACAAAAAACUACCCGGAUUCCCAUCCGAUAAAAUGGUCAGCCUUGGUGCCUUAGACCCUUUCGAUAUAGUGAGGAUAACUCACCUACAACUGUCGACUUGAAGAAAUAAGGCCACACUGCUCCGACCACCAACACGAACUCCACCACUGGUCAUUACCAAAUAACCAAAACCAAUUAACACCAAUAAUUACCAAAAUACCCUUGGAAGUCAACUGGUCAACCCUUGGUCAAGGUCAAAGUCCAUAGUCAAAGUCAACCUUCCUGGUUGACCCUACUUGCCGAGUCAACCCGUUGACUCAUCGAGUUCAUAUGCUCAGAAACUCCAAUGCCACGACUCAACUCGUCGAGUCGCCCCAAGACUCGUCGAGUCCAACAAGCUCCGAGUCCCUUCCUGCUCAACUCACCGAGUCAUCCCUCAACUCACCGAUUCACAGCUCAACCAAAAAAGGUUAGGACUUCUCGACCAGACUCGCCGAGUCCGAGAACAGACUCGCCGAGUCCAAGGCAAUCUUCAACAGACUCGCCAAGUUGUUCUUCCAACUCGUCGAGUCCAUGCACAUAUUCAUACAACUCACUGAGUCCACCCAUGUGACUCGCCGAGUCGCUUCAGUUUUUAAUCCAUACAGUGGCUUUCUCCGCCAUGCAACACCUCCAUAUAUCAGAUCCAAGCUUCUAGGGCAUGAUUAUCACGUAAAGUUGCAAACUUUACGUGUAUGCAAGGCUCUAGGGGCUCUAAAUGACCAAACUAAGCUUCCAAUGGAGCUUUACACCUUAGGAGAGUCUCAUCCUUGCAUGAACUGGAAACUUUAUGGGCUUAGGACUCAAAAGAGGUUCAGAUCUGAAGUUUCAGCUUCAGAUCUAGCUUCCAUAAUAAAAUUCCUUAACCAAGGAAAGCCCUAGCCUCCACAUAUGAAUGAUUCUAGAAGAAAAGGUUAAGAUAACAGCUUAUUGCCUCCCAAAACGUGCCCAAACUGGAGUGGGUUCUUGAUUCACACGAAAUCUUUGGUGCUAGCCUCUUGAUCUACAAGUCCUCUUCACAAAGUUCCCUCCUCAAAGCUCCAAACACUUCUCUAAGCUCCCACUCUCGAAUAUUAGGGCUUCUGGAACUCUCUGGGGGAUUAGGGGUCUGGGUGAAGGACAUAAAGUCCUUUAAAUAGGGGGCAACCCCGAAGAUUAGGGUUUUUUUCAUUCCAGCACCAACUCGCCGAGUCUAGCCGCCGAAUCGCCGAGUUGGUCACUUUAACAUACGACCAGAACCGCGACUCGACUCACCGAGUCUACCCAUCGACUCGCCGAGUCGAUCUUCCUUAUUUACACUAAGAACCCUAAAUUUGCACUUCUGAACUCGGGGUGUUACAAUUCUCCCCCACUUAGAUUCGGCUUUGUCCUCGAAGCCUGCUGCAGCACACCAUUCUAGAUAACACUCCCACAAUGUACCUCCUGGUAUCAAUCGAUCCAGGUUCCUCCGAACACUGCUUAUUAAACCUCUAUAAAGUCCAACUCUUCCCUCCUCGAGUUACGACAACUGAUUCAAGCCAGCCACCGACUUCUUUCUCUAAUAACAACCCCUUAUUAACCAAUGAUCCCCCGAUGAUACCUUCAUCAUUCCAUAUCGCAACAAUCACUUGACUCUUACAAAGCUAGAUAUCACCCUGAACCACCGGGUCCUGACCCGGUACCAAGCUACUACCCCUUUCCUCGGCUGGCAUAUCCUUUAUCGAAUUCACUUCUAAGACUUAUCCCGCUUUCCUUCCCGAAUCCAACUCGUUUCUUUCUGAGCUGACAGGAUGGCACAUCCUUCAUAUCUUGAGCAACUCCUAUGAGCUCUCCCCUGCAAUCACACAUGCACGAUGAACCUGCUCUAACAUCCUUGGGCUGGAAAACCCGACACACUGACGAUACCUUCAGACAUCCCCAAGAUGAUUUACCACUACAUACAUAACCUCCUGAUCACAACCAUACUGAAAAUCCAAGGCUUCAUCCUUGCAUCCCUUCCAAACUCCUCGGUUCUACUCAACAGAGUGUAACCCACUCACACCUCCCUAUCACGACCUCUAGGUCCUUGACCUCCGACUGUAAUAUCCUCGUACAGUCCUCAGCACCGGUCCAUACUACUCCCGAGUCUGUUAACCUGCUGUCUCACCUUCCUUCGUCCAAACCUCCAAUCUGGAACCACUAUUCUCCUCCUCUCCCAAGGAGACUGAAAACAUGCCUGCGCAUUAUCCAACAUUGCUACAACCUCGAUGGGCAUCCUACCCAUAAGUGCUCCCAUAUAUUUGGUACAACCCCAGUGCUUACUAUCAAUAACUGAAGUACUUUCGAUCAUCCAUUCCCACUACUGUUUUCCUUUCAGAGGACCCACACUCCUUCUGGAGCUAUAUACCUUCCCCUUCCAGGGAAUCUACUCAACAAUCCUUGCCAGACUUGCA
rnacentral:lncRNA from 1 species